AACUUCCAGCGGUCUUCCGAUGAACUCUCGGAAACCAUUCUGCGGACUCCCGGCAAGCUCCUAGACUUCACGAUUUGUUCUUAGCGAGUUCCAACGAGCUUCUUCGGCAAGCUCCGAUCUUUCUCGGCGAGCUCCGCGAACUCCCAACUAACCUUCCGGCGAGCUUCCGAAAAACCCUUCGGCAAGCUCCCAACUCAUUCUCGGCUAGUUCCGGAAGCAUUCCCGACGAACCUUCGGACUUCCGUCGAACUCUCGAACUCGUAACAAAUCCUUCGCGCUUGACUCCGA
rnacentral:lncRNA from 1 species